UUCUACUUCAGAAAUUGUGAAAUAUAUUUGAGUUGCAGACUUCAAUGGGGCAGGUUUUAAAUCACAAUGAAAUAAGCAAUUAAUUGUAAAAUGAUGAAGGAAUGUCUUGAUGGUGUCCCUGUGAAGCUUAAAAGUUUGGAACAGACAAGACUGGCACUGAAGCGCUCCUGGUAUCAUUGCUGCCUUGUAUCUUUUUUGGCAUGCUCUAUAGGAAAGCACAGAGAAAGAAAAAUAUGAAAUUGAACAUGGCAAAUUUAAUUAUAAAACAAAGCCACCCACCUUGCUUUCAGGGUCAGGAAGUAUAAUCGCCUCCUUUUGACGCACGAAUGAGUUUAACAACAUAUGUUAAAUGAACAGUUAUUUAAAAUAAAAGGAAAUGACCUUAAAAACAGCUGCAGUAUCUCAGGCUGUAGCACCGACAGCAGUGCAGAAAAACAGCCCAUUGUGGAAGGAAGACACAGGCAUAAACGAGAGCACUCCCGCAACCCGACUCUUGCAAAGACAAAAGCAAAAAGCAAUCAUUUCACAGAACACUGUAAAAUAUCUCGCUUAGAUUUGGUCUCACCAGCUUGUUCUGCUUCUGAUUUCUUAUUUAUGUUUGUUUAUUUUGGUCUUUCUUUUUCCUAUUUAUUUAUUGUUUGGCUGCAAGACCAAAUCCUCAUGCCCAAAGCCACUGUUUGCUGCACAAUGGUACGACGACAUUGGGUGUAUUCCAGAAAAUCGUAUUUUAAUGAAUGUCACAAGCAGUGAAAACACCAGAGCAAGCACAUCAGCACUAGUUGCACCCCUAAGAAUAAAAAGAAAAAAGCUUUUUGCAACAGAAUAAAUCCAUUUUUCUGGAAAGCACUCAGAAUCACAUGACCAAGCGCAGAGCCUUUAUGACAGCGCAGAACCAGCCUGCAAUGGGAAAGAAAUUAAGCAGGUCUGCCUCCUCCUCGCACACGCUUUUUAGCCUGUCGACGGGCUGCCUGUCCGUAUCCCUCACAGCGCAUCUGUAGAGCCAUUAAAUUGGAUAAUCCCUCUGGCCUUUGAUACAUUUCUGGACAUGAUUAUUUCAUUACUUGCAGUAUAUCAGUAGGAUCAUAAUAAAAAGGACUUCUGACAACCUGCCAAGAGUUUUGUGGCCUUGUAAACACAAAAGUGCUCUAAUAAAAUUUUAUUAAGUGUUAAAAAGUCAUAAAAAGUGAAAUAACAUAAACUACAAAAUUUACUGUCCUCAGCAAAUGCUGAAAAUAUCGUCCAUAGUAAAAUUAAAUUAGCAUGUAAUAGCGCGGCAGUGUGGAGUGGGUUUGAAAGAGAAUGCAGAAAAAAAAACAAAGGAAAAAAAUAAAGAAAGAUUGCACUUGAACGGAAUGUGGGCCGCGGGGGUUCGCUUUAUGGCGAUCCCCGCGGGUUCUCGGGGGCCGCUGGGGAUGCACACGCGGGCGGGUGCGGGUCGGGGCGCGGGGCGCGGCGGGAGCGCGGCGCGGGGCGGCCGCCAGGCGGCGCUGUGGGAGCGGGAAUGCGGCGGCCCCCGCGCCGCGACCCCCGGCGCAGCCCCGGCGGCCGCCGGGAGCGCUCCCCCACCCCAGAAAUGAGCCAUUUACAGGGAUUUUGGCGUUUUCUUGCGAAUCAAAAAAAAAAAAAAAAAUGGAGCGAGGAAAACAAUGCGGGUAGAGCUGGGCUGGAAGGCGCCUGGCGGGGCAGGCAGCGGCGGAGCGGGCUCCCGGCGGCUUCGGCCGCGCCGCUCCCCGCCGCCGUCCCGGCUCCGCGCCCCCGCGCCCGGGGCAGGGGCAGCGGCAGGGGCAGGGGGUCCCGCGCCGGGGGCGAGGCGGCAGAGAGUGCGCGCCCUCCGUGCCUCCGGGGGCCCGCAGCAGGAGCCAAGUAAAAUCCAGCCUGUAAGAAUGCAACUGCCCAGCCUUCCUUAUUCUUGAAGCCACCUGCCCGAAUGUUCCUUGAGCCAAGACCACAUGGGCAAAGGGAAAACAAUGAACUCAUGGAGAAGUUCACAAGUGGCAGGUGACAAAAUGUCCCAGAUGUCUUACCAGUACACUGUAGACCAGGGCUCAGCUGGGCUGGGCCGUUCCCUCCUUCCCAUUACUGGGGAUUCAGAUUAAUCAGUCCUGGUUACAUGACAUGACCCCAACGUGAAAACAGCAUGCAGGCCAGGAGACCCAGACCUCCUGAGAGGACUUUGGUCAUAUCUAAGAGAGCAGAAGAGUACUAGGGUUUUAAUAUGAAUCAUUACCAUGUGUAGAAUCUGAUGAGAUGUGUGUUUGUGGCUCAGUUCUGACCCUACCACCAUUCACAUUAAUUUUUGGAAAGCUUUUCCUUUCAUUUGCAAACCUUCAAGUUCUAAAUGGCCUGCUGGCUGCAACUGGCCACUUCAGCUCCUAUGAAGAGGUAGCUGCAAAAGCAUGUAUUUUCCACUUGCACAAGGACUCCAGCUUCCAACACGAUGGGCACUUCUUUUUCCCCUCUGUCUUCUGCUUCUCCAACAGUAGAAUGUUCCACAGAAAUAACUUGGUCCAUGUGAAUUUCCAUGGCACUCUUGAGCACAAACACCUUCCCUGAACUGAUUGGCCAUGGACCACAUAAAGGGUAUAGAGGGCAUCCAUCCCUGUGGUGGAAGGGAUUGUUUCAUAAGGAUUAAUGAGAAAUAACCAUUUAAUCCCAUAGAGAAUGCGAUGUAAAAAUUCAUGUACAUUCCUGCUGCACAGUAAUGGCCUUAUUUCCAGAAUCUGUAAGACAGCAGAAUAAGUAACACACAACAUCAAACCCUUUUUUAUAUUUUAGAAAAUACACUGUUUACUGUCAGUGAUAGAAAGGGCAAGAAGAAAAAAUACCUUUGCCAAGCUGUGCUUCCUGGUAUGUUCAGUGUAUAUUCAAGUGCUUCCUGGUAUAUUUAGAAACAACCAAAUGACAGCAAAAUACGGUUUGUAGUUAAGGUCCCUUAUCAACACUUAGUCUGAGUGCAGAAUAAGAAAAUAUGCAAGAUUCUCCAAUGAAUAAAUGAAUAUUUAACAAAUCUGAAUGAAGAUAAAUUGAGGAAAUCCUUUUAUAAAGACAAGCGAAUACAUCUUUAUAACAUAGGCAAUAGCUCCACAUUGCACAUGACAAGGUGUGCUUUGUGUAAUAGGGUGAAUAUGUACUGCUAACUCUGUGGAAUACAGUUGAAUUGCAAAAAUAUAUUUUUAAAUUUUCAUAAUGGAUGAAGGCAGCAUGUCUGAGGUUACUCACAUUUUAGAUUAUUAUUACUGAAGACUUUUUUUACAUCAUUAGUUUUUAAUAUAGAUGUUGUUUGCUUCCACUUUACAAUUUACUCUGGUUUAGAGACUGAAUAUACAACACGUGGUUGCAUGGAACGCAGGUUCUGUAGAACUAAGCAGCUAUGUUACUGAAUUUUACACAUAUAUCUAGUAGAAAAACAAUUUUCUACAUUCUUUAUUAAACAGCCCAUCUAUUCCAGUCUCUUUCUGUGUAAAAAAAAAAAAAAAAACAACAACAUAACAAAGUCAACAUACAAUUUUUUUAUCUAUCUAUUAGGGCAAAGAAAUUUUCUUUCUACACUGACAUCAAUAAAGAUAAAUAUUGUUGGAUUUUGCUACAAAGCUCUAAUUGAGUGCUUCUCUUCACUUCUCCUUUACACCUCUCUAUAGAUUCACACAUUUUUUUUCCAAAAGAGAGGAGCGUACAAUGCUGCGGAGUUAGCAUUACAUUAAACUGUUGUAUAAAGUUUGUCCACUAGGUGGUCCUUAAAGACGUAUUUAAGAACAUUGUUUCAGGUUUUAAGCCUUCAUAUUUAAACACAUACAAAUAAAUGCAAAUAUCUAUUUUAAUGUCAUGAUUAGCAGCUAUGGCUAAAAUGACUGUAACUGUUUUGCUCCCUCCUCCCAUAUUCAUUGUGUAUUCAUCAAAGAUAAAUAAUCUGAGGAAUAUUUAAUAUAAGAUUCUGCUGUGUGUGCAAGCCCCCAGACUUCUUUAAAAGCAGGUAAUUCAAAUGAUUUCAGCGGGUUACUCACAGAAGCAAAUCCUGUGUACAUGAAGAAAAUCUCAAUUGUAGGUCAUAUACUCCAUUUAUAUUCCAGGGAUGCCAAACAAUUGGAAGUGAUGGAUUUCAUUUGCAUUGUAGUGAUGUUGUCAAAAGUAAAAAACAAACACAAAAAUUAGCAUUGGCAUAGCUGUAAACAACAAUUUAUAGCACUGACAGGAAAAUAUUCACAUUCCAAGCACAAAGCUCAUUUUACUUUGAGAUAGCUUGAGAUUGAAUCUGGGAAUCUACUGUAUGCCUAAAUCUUCCAACAGAAGGUGGAAUGUCAUCAAAACUCGGCAGGUGUGGAGGCACUGUGAGGUGUUUGCAGCAAGUGACUUCUCUACACAACUAGAUCUUGCAGAGCUUCUCAUUCUUCUGUUUGCUAUUCCCAAACUUGAAAGAAACAUCUUCACUACAGAUGGCACAUGCAACUGAAGAAAACUUCAUUCCAUGAAUGUCGUGGAACAGAAGACAUUUUAACACAUCCACAACCAAAAAAACCUGAGAUGUAUCAACAGCAAGGAACAUUUUUCUCACACCCUUGAGCAUUAAGGAUGACAGAAUUCAAAGAAAUAUAGUAAUUUACACCUGCUGAACAGGCAAUGAUUUUGAGAACUGGAUAAAAAUAUUGUCUGUCUGUCACAUAUGCCAAAUGAUCUUGGUAUUAAACUUUCUCAUUAUACAGUAGACACAUUUUGCAAGAGUUUAGAAAUAAAAUGUAAGAAACUUUUCAAACAUUUUAAAAAGUUAUAUGCUAUGAUGACGAGAAACUAUGAGUCCAAGAAAUAGAUCUGCAGCCAUUAUGGGCCUUUUUUAUUACGUUGCUAUAGUUUUUCAGUGUGGUAACGGUAAAUUUCUCAAUACAUUGUACUAAUUUCCAUAUUCAUUUUCGACUUAGCUCUCAUUUCUAGUGUGUAAAGUAUGAUUCCAUUAGUCUUCAUUGAUUCAUAGAAAAUGUACCGUGGACUGUGUCUUUUUGUUAAUGAAAGGAAAAAUAAGAAUGAAGUUAUAGAAUGUAAUGAGGUUUAGAAAUGAGUUUGCUUCAUCUUAUAGCAGUUCUGAUACAAAUUAUUACAAGAUUGGCAAUUCUGAGCUGUAUAUUGCUUGUAAUACAAACCAUACCUAAUGAAAAAAUGAUGUAAUCAAAAACUGUAGAGAGACAGGGGACUCGGUGUUCCUCUCCUUGUGAGCAAGGCUUCUUGCUAUAAACUAGUGAAUUUAUGUUGGUAUUAAAGAAGUUACCACUGUAACAAAGAAAUUACUAUGUUAUUCACAGAGUAAGAACAAGGAGAGAACAGGUAUUUCCCUUGUUGCUUCUUCUAAUAUCAACUGAGUUUAAAAGUUCAGUCUGGUUAAAAUAUUUUCCCAAAGUACUUCACAAACUGGAAGAGGGAAAUCACUGCUUGCUCCAGUGACCUUUUGAUAGUCCAAACCAGCUGUUUGAUGGGCCAUAGAAGUUUAAGUAUUUGGGGGUACAAGCACACCGUGUGAUCCUGUGGGCAAAGUUUAGGUUGGAAGAAUUGUUUAAAUUACCAUGGAGUCAAGAUUAAAACCUUCAUAGGAAUUACAGAAGAUACUAAGUUUCAUAAUUUGUAGUUUAUGAUAAAUGAGUGUUUAAAAGAAAACACGUAAGAACUGGGCAAAAAAUUGAAAAAGGUAAAUCCAAGAAAACCAGUUUAAAGUUUUGGUGUCCUGGUAAAACAUAUUAAAAGCAAAAGUGUCAUAGUAAAGAGAAAAAAGACACAAGCCAAAGGAAGAAUAAACAAAAAUGCUUUCCCCCGUUUCUCCCUGCAACAGUGGCAAUACCCUAUUUGUUCAAAUCUUUAUGUAGUACAAACAAAUACAGCCUCUAAUACAACAGUCUUUUCACAUUAAGCUUCUGAACAGGGAAUUAUCCUCCUACUCCAGCUUCUAAUUUCCUCUUCCUGUCCCAUAUAUAAAACAGCUGGGUGCGGUUGUCUGAUGAGAUCAGCUGCCUUGGUCUCUCAAGCUAUUUUACCCCUUCCUGCCUGUUGCAUGAGCUCUGCUCAAUGUAGGAAAAAAAGGAGGGAGAACCACCCCAGCAAGUACAUCAAAGUUCAGAAGCAACAUUAACAUACUGGAAGUGGGAAGAAUGAGACAGACUCUUACCUAGCAAAUUCAUUUCUUAAACAAAGAGCAAGACAAGCUGAGGUUUAAAACUGAGAAAUCAUAUGAAGAGGAGGAAAAAAAAAAAAAAAAGUAAAUCUAAAAACCAAAGGUGGACAAGAAAUGAAAGAAGCAGGGGAGCAGGAGUACACACAUAAGAAGAAGUAAUGACAGCCAGGAGCUGCUUUGACACAAGGAACUGACUGAAGAAAAUCACAUCACUUGUGUGCUGCAGAGCUCCAAGACGUUUUCAUCACCCGGUUCCUGAAUGCAUUUUGGCUGAGGCAGGCAAACUUAUGAUCUCUAAUGAGUCCUUUCAUUUGCAGCUUAAUAAUUUUAACUAGUUUACUAUACAACUGUCUUCUAGGUGUCCUGCCAACGGGAUCCCACUCAUUAACUACACAGACAUUAAUUACAGAUACAUAAAACUCAGUAAGAAAGGCACUUAGAAAGAUCAGAGAGAAACUUUUUAAAGUAUUUUAUUUUUUAAUAUAGAUGCAAUAUUUUUCCAAGGUCACUUUAGAGUUAAGUGGUGUACAGUCUAUUAAUGUGGAAAUGCCCAUACAGUCAUUUCAGGUUAAACGUGCACAGAAUAUUCUACAACACAAAAACUGCAUUUAGAGAUUUUUCCUGCUCCAGAAUGAUUUGGCAGCUUCAAAAAGCUAACACACGUUUCCAUUCUCAAAAUCAAUCCCUUGAACAACAAACCCUCAAACUGAAACACACUCCACCGCAC